rnacentral:rRNA from 1 species
ACACCCCUACGGGGGGCAGCGGUGGGGGAUAUUGCACAAUGGGGGGAACCCUGAUGCAGCGACGCCGCGUGGGUGAAGGAGCGUUUCGGCGCGUAAAGCCCUAUCGGCAGGGAAGAAGGAGGACGGUACCUGACUAAGAAGCCCCGGCUAACUACGUGCCAGCAGCCGCGGUAAUACGUAGGGGGCAAGCGUUAUCCGGAUUUACUGGGUGUAAAGGGGGCGCAGACGGCAGCGCAAGCCAGGAGUGAAAGCCCGGGGCCCGACCCCGGGCCUGCUCUUGGAACUGCGCGGCUGGCG